UGGCUGCCUGCAACAGCCCCAGGGCACAAUCAGACAAGGAUGGAGAAGGCCUGGGAGCAGAUUUUGUUACCAAGAAUAGGACAGAACAAUGUUUGCCUCCAAAACACUAGGGCUGCUAUUUACCUUCUCAGCUGGAAGAAGUGAGGCAUAAAUGCAUUAUUGCACAUAAAGUGUAAAUACCAAUUCUUUAAUUUCUAAAUUUUUAGGAUUUUAUUUUUUCUUAACUCCCCUUAAAUAAAACGUCAGGGAAAAUUUUUAGCAUAAUUGAUUUCCUGAACUAAGGGAAUAAAUUCAUUUCAGAAGUUUUGACCUUCUAAAGUGCUGUUACUUUGCCUAAAAUGGAAGUAUGGAGGAGGCAGAAUAAAAAUUGUAAGACAUUUCCAGGUGAUUAUGGGGGUUGAGAACGCUUCCAUGUGUGUGCUGUGUGUGUUGGCAAUGUCAUUAUUUCAGGAACUGCUAUGAAAAAACCAAGUUUCCCUAUGUUUGGAUGUAAAACUUCAUCUACUUUUCAGAAGCUCUCCAAAAUUAUUUACCAGCUUGAGCCUGCUCCCUCAAAAGGAGCCUCAGUUCCUAACAAAAGUGACUUUUUGUAGAAACUCUGCAGGUCAGAAGAUUUUUGUAUGGAAUGAUCUUCUCCAAUCAAUUAUUUGAAUCUAAGGUGUGCUCAAGAGGAGAAUCAGUUUCCCAUUCAACCACUUAGGAUUCUUUCUCUCUGCGUCCUAAAUUUGGCUUUGAGACCUUGGAUGAUGAUUCUCCUAAUCUGGUCAAUGGACCACCUGCAAGAAUCACCCAGGACUGGAGCCCAGGAAUCUGCUCAGUAACGUGACUGGGGUGCAUAGGAAGAGAAGAUCAUCAGUGGCAAAUGGCAGUCACAGGAAAGCAACACCCACAGCCGGUUUCACACGUGUGGAGAGCACCCUGAGCCUCCUCCUCCUGGUUUCCCGUGCUCUGCAAGUUCAGAGAAACUUCUCUCACAACCAACUAUAGAAACAAUCUUGGAACGUACAGUCUUAGAAAUGGCUUUUUAAUUGCAGCAUAUCAGAGUGAAAAAGGACCCAGAGAUGUUGGAAUCAGACAAUCCUGGUUUCAAAUCGGUUUCAUUGUUCAUCCUCAUGUGAUGUUUGGCAAGAAAUAAAACAUUUCUGCGUUCA
rnacentral:lncRNA from 1 species